ACCAAAUUGCAUGUGUUUGGCUUAGUUAUCAGUUGGUUGUUUAUGAUUUUAUGGAUGACAAUUUUAGUACUUAUGUGAGGAUGACUAUACAUACUUGUCUGAUAUUUGCUCGAAUUAUUGGAUUGCAUUCAAAAGAACUUUGAUGACACUUAUUGAUCAAUAUUACAUGUUUCAUGAUCGUUCUUAUGCAUCAUCCCCUCUAUUUCACAUCACUAUCUUAUGGAUUUUUGUUUCCUCAGUGUGUCGAUGUAUUUUUCUUCCCGGAUAUUAUUCCCCGAGAUGAAUUUGAGAAAACCUCCGAAGCUCGCUUCUUCAUACAUCACAGGAUAUCGCUUGUCCACAAGUUCCGAAGCGGGCCCCACUUUUGUAUCCAUCGAAAGGCUCUGAAUAUUGGCGAUCGAAAUCCGAUUCUUCUCCGAGUUCAAAACCGCUCGAUGAACAACUCCUCUAUAUCUGCCAUUGCUCAGUACCUCCAUGUGAUCUCCCAACUGAACCACCAAUCCUCCUUUUAUGACAGGCCUAAUGCUAGACUUGGUUCGGGGCAAGAAGGGUAAUAAUUCACUGCUGUGACUUGUUGGAGGAUCCGAUGGCCAAGAAUCGAUCCAAGUAGAGAUUGGCUGUGAGUAGUGUUUGAUGAAGUCUCUCCAAUAUUGAACUUUAUCCUUGACGUGGUUUAGGCUGGUCCCGUACCUUACCGGUUUGCAGACAUUAUCGGAGGCAAGGCGCAUCUUUGUCUCGUUUGGCAAAUCGAAAAACUCUUGAGCAACAUCCAGUGCGUCUUUUGCGAGGGAAACUUGACCGACGAGGCGUGAUCGAAGAAGAGGGUUGUCUAACGAGGAGAGAUCUAUAACGGGCAAAGGCCUAGUGAAGAAGCAAUGCUGCUGCAUCGGGUUACGGUCAGUUAGUGUGGGGCGAUGUUGGAGAGGAAGUAUAUAACGCUGCGGAACAUUUCUUCUUCUCAUUUGUGAAACUGUCAUUGCACUUGUGAAUGAGAAUCUCUUUUAUUCGUGGAAUAUUCCUCGAAAUACCAAUUCUACUAUCAGGGGCAAUUGUAAUAAUAUUAUUUUAUGAUAGGGGCUAAGUGUAAUAUUUCUUUCGGACUAAAUUAUGACCGUUGUGUACUAAUUGUUGUGUAUGUGAGUUAUAUUGCAUUGUUCAUCAUUUAAGAGGGUGUUAAUCGUGAUCAUACGAGUGUUUGAUUCACUACACCUAUCUUCGGUUAUUUCU